rnacentral:tRNA from 1 species
GGGGUUGUAGCUCAGUGGUAGAGCGCUUACCUAAUGUGUGAGACACUGAGUUUGAUUCUCAGCACCG